UUUAGGGAUGCCGAGGGACUAAGAUGGGGAGAAAACAUAGCGGAGAAAUUAAUGCAGAUAAUCGAAGGGUGUAGGAUCUCUCUCAUAGUCUUCUCAGAAAAGUACGCGGAUUCGAGAUGGUGUCUGGAGGAGCUGGUGCAGAUCAUGGAGUGUAGAAGAAUACGAAGGCAACUGGUUUUCCCCAUAUUCUAUCAUGUUGAUCCUUCACAUGUCAGAAACCAGACCGGUAGCUUUGCUCAUGCGUUUCAGAAAUAUGAAGAAAACAUGCUCUCAGAAAAACAAAAAGAAGGUACAGAUAAGAUAGCCAGGUGGAAAGCUGCUCUCAGAGGAGCGGCGAAUUUGGUUGGCUUCGAUAUUGCUGAUAGACAUGAAGCAGAGUUUAUCAAUAGCAUUGUUGACGAGAUAUGCAAACAGCUGACCAACACAUACUUGAAUUUAGCUGUCUACCCAGUUGCAAUACAUUCUCGUGUUGAUGAUAUUUGCAAGUGUUUAGGUGUUGGAUUAGAUGAUGAUGUUCGCAUGGUUGGAAUUUGGGGUAUGGGUGGAAUCGGCAAAACAACAGUUGCCAAAGCCAUCUAUAACAAAUUUUAUC
rnacentral:lncRNA from 1 species